GUCUUUUUGUGUACCAUAAAAAGUCGUGCCUUCCCAGUGGGUUUUAACCUAAACGGAUGCGGUAAAUCGUGCUAAGGUAGCUAAAUUAUGGCCCAUUAAUUGUGGGUCUUGCGAACGGCUUGACGAGUUCCCUACUGUCUCAAAGUUGUUUUGGUGAACUUGAAUUGGAUGUGUAAAUGCUUCCAUGAGUGAGAAAGACGAGAAGACCCCGUGAAGUUAGAAAUUUUUUAUCUAGUAUGAAUUUUCAGUUUUAUUUGGGUUUGUAGAUGUAAGUUGAGAUCUUGAGAGUUGAAAAAUAUGGUUCUAUUGUUUUGGCUGGGGCAGCAAGAAGGCAAAACUAGACCUUCUUUAUUAAAAAACGGGUGCGUUACGACCCAUAGUUUUGAAAGGAAUGAUUAUCAGAAGAAGUUACUCCGGGGAUAACAGCGUUAUCCGUCCUGAUAGUCCUUAUAGAUGGGCGGGUUUGCGACCUCGAUGUUGGCUCUGGUUAUCCUGAGGCUUGCAGGAGGUCUCGAGGGUUGGUUUGUUCGCCCAUUAAAAUCCG
rnacentral:rRNA from 1 species